rnacentral:rRNA from 1 species
GUAACAGAACUAGCUUGCUAGUUGCUGACGAGUGGCGGACGGGUGAGUAAUGCUUAGGGAUCUGCCUUUAGGAGGGGGAUAACCAUUGGAAACGAUGGCUAAUACCGCAUAAUGUCUACGGACCAAAGGGGGCUUCGGCUCUCACCUAGAGAGGAACCUAAGUGAGAUUAGCUAGUUGGUGAGGUAAAGGCUCACCAAGGCGACGAUCUCUAGCUGUUCUGAGAGGAAGAUCAGCCACACUGGAACUGAGACACGGUCCAGACUCCUACGGGAGGCAGCAGUGGGGAAUAUUGCACAAUGGGGGAAACCCUGAUGCAGCCAUGCCGCGUGUGUGAAGAAGGCCUUCGGGUUGUAAAGCACUUUCAGUCGUGAGGAAAGGUUAGUAGUUAAUACCUGCUAGCUGUGACGUUAACGACAGAAGAAGCACCGGCUAACUCCGUGCCAGCAGCCGCGGUAAUACGGAGGGUGCAAGCGUUAAUCGGAAUUACUGGGCGUAAAGCGCACGCAGGCGGUUUGUUAAGCUAGAUGUGAAAGCCCCGGGCUCAACCUGGGAUGGUCAUUUAGAACUGGCAGACUAGAGUUU